GCAGUCGAGCGCACCCUUCGGGGCGAGCGGCGGACGGGUUAGUAACGCGUGGGAACAUACCCUUUUCUAUGGAAUAGCCUUUGGAAACGAAGAGUAAUACCAUAUACGCCCUUCGGGGGAAAGAUUUAUCGGAGAAGGAUUGGCCCGCGUAAGAUUAGAUAGUUGGUGGGGUAAUGGCCUACCAAGUCUACGAUCUUUAGCUGGUUUUAGAGGAUGAUCAGCAACACUGGGACUGAGACACGGCCCAGACUCCUACGGGAGGCAGCAGUGGGGAAUCUUAGACAAUGGGCGCAAGCCUGAUCUAGCCAUGCCGCGUGUGUGAUGAAGGCCUUAGGGUCGUAAAGCACUUUCGCCAGAGAUGAUAAUGACAGUAUCUGGUAAAGAAACCCCGGCUAACUCCGUGCCAGCAGCCGCGGUAAUACGGAGGGAGCUAGCGUUGUUCGGAAUUACUGGGCGUAAAGCGCGCGUAGGCGGCUUGGCAAGUAGAGGGUGAAAUCCCAGGGCUUAACCCUGGAACUGCCUCCUAAACUGCUGAGCUAGAAUCCUGGAGAGGUGAGCGGAAUUCCUAGUGUAGAGGUGAAAUUCGUAGAUAUUAGGAAGAACACCAGUGGCGAAGGCGGCUCACUG
rnacentral:rRNA from 1 species